GGACGAUAUCUCGUGCUGCUGGCUGCAUAUAGGUAGUGGGGGUGGUGCAGGCCGACAUGGCGGCCAGUUUUCUGGAACGUGCAACACAGGCCUGCCUUUACCAAUUUUCUUCCUUCGGUCAGUCUGCCUUUCAAUCUUUAUCUUCUUCCUUCCUUCUGUCCGUACCCUUUCGUCUGGCUUUCUUACCCUCUUAUUUCUUGAAAAGGGAAAGGAACCGGCUGCGAUUGAAAAGAAAUAUUCAUCGGAUUACCAGACUUGUUCGCAACAGCAACAACAGUAUGAACAAUUGCUUCAUUACUCUCAAAAGGAUGAUCAAGGGGCCGCGGAGAGGCAGCAGGAGUCAAUAAGCAGAGGAGCCAAGUGUCGGUGAAGACUGGCCUGCAUAGAUCCUUCAGAACAGAGUCAAGGAGCAGACUCUGCUGAGGUGCGGAUAUUAAUCCAGAAGGUUCUCCAUAGCAUCCCCCGGGAGUCUCCCCACUUGCCGAGGAGACGUCGACGAUGCCGAUGGAGGGGAUCCGGAUGGAAAGGAGGGAAAAGGGGCGGGGUGCGGGCAGGGAACUGUUGGCGGGUAUGCACGGUAGGGGCAGGAGAGGACCUUGGCCUUUUCGCGGGGCAAAAAUAAAACCUGUUGACACCGAAGCCCCGCGGACGCAAAGGAACCUCUCUGUCUCCCUUCCUCGACCAGUUUCCAAUAUCUCUCUUAAAUAUCCGCCUGCUGAUUCCCCUCGAGCUGCACGAUUUUCGAAUUUGUUCGUAUAGGUUAGGUUGCUGUUACUUUGGAACUUUCAAGCCGGUCUGGAUAUGAAAGGAGAGAACAAUGAUAUAUACAAAUUAGAUUAAAUUGGAGAGGAACAAGAUCCACUCGUAUUUCUAUGCUUGCAAAGCGUCAUCGUUACUGUCGAUGCGUGAAAUGAACGCCCCCGCGGCUUUGUGCGCCCCCAGAGCCGCUGGAUUUUAUCACAUGUCGCAACUCGGCCUCGCAUGAACAUUCCUUUCCAUCAUUUUAACCAUCAUUUUUGUUGCUUUAAACUUUUUGAACUUUUCUUCCAAUAUUCUUUCCUCCAAAUCUCGUCAUCCAGCUUUCAUCGUUUCAUAAUAUUGAUGUUUCUUCAUAAUAUUCUGAAUUUUUUCAACGUUUCAAUUUAUCGUUUUUAUGAAGUACGUAUACAACUUUUCAAUUGAAAUACAUACUUGCAUUAUUCAAAGGUGAUCCCAGUGUUAUACACGUUGCAGUAGCGGCCGAAUGCAUCUGGUCCCAAGUGAUUCCCCUUCAGUACCAGUUACGCUGCUGCAACAUUUGCUUUCUGCGUGUUCGCGCGUGCACGAUGCUCGAGCAUGCACCUUACCAUGACUAGACGAGCCAGAGACGAAGAGAAGCGGCCUCCGGCAACCUCAACCUAGCUACAGACAAACGCCAUCGUCCCUGUGUGCACGCUACGCUGCCAUGACGCGGAAAAAAGCGAUACAGAAUGUAUCGACCAGACAACCAACCCGCUACUUUUUCUUUUUUAAGAAAAUUUUGUUUAAUGAAUGAUGCAAAAAUUCUUCUUUCCUUCUCUUGCGUGACUAUUCCUCUUGAACUAAUUUUCAACAUCUUUGUUUGAUGAUAUUAUUUGGUAAUAUUAUC